GGUUGUAGCUCAGUGGAAGAUCACUUGCCUAGCACGUGUGAGGCACUGGGUUCAAUUCUCAGUACCA
rnacentral:tRNA from 1 species